AUGUUGGGGUCAAAGCAUACCCACAUACAACAUAGAGUACACUGAUUGGAGAUGAUCAACCUAUUCUUGUUUUAUACAGUUGGCUUUGGAAUCUUAAAAUGUCUGUAUAAAGAGUACAGAGAGCAGCAUAAGGGAGUAACUCUGAGAGUGAUUGUGAUUUGUGAUAGGCAGUGAAACUGGUCCACCCAAUGGGUGUGAGAAGGAAAAAUGUACUGAAUGAUGAUUACUGUGAUUGUGCCAAGCCCAACUGUCAAGAGGCAAGGUUGACAGACAAACACUUGACAAUACCAAUGGGGCUUCUAAGACAUGUAUGGACCGAAUGGAAUGGAAUACAACUGUGUACCACAGUUCUUUCAAGUGUGUUUGAGAGGGGAUUGCUAUGGGCUACCUGAAAUUCAACACCUCAGUACUUGACUGCAUCUUCCAUGAAAUCAUCCUAUGUCCGGACAAUACUCCAAUACUCAGAAGUUGACAACGCAAGUGUAACUGUAGACAUUUGUGCAAGUCAUGGCAAGUCAUGGCAACAAAACAGUGGUAUUGAAGACCAACUCAGCUAACAUGAAACAGGACAAGGAUUAAGAGAUACAACUCAACAUCCCAGGUUCGAAUCAUACAUCCCGAGGAGUCGUCUCUUCCAGUCCAGUGUGAGACCAACCCUACUGGUUUGAAUGGAGUUGUGGUGUUUGAUGAUCUAACUUAUGCCAUACCUUCUGUUGACAACCAGCAGCCUAUAGAUCGAGCCCCGUCUUUGGACAACUUAACCGGUGUGAGUGUAGGAUUGGAGCAGCAGUGGAGCUCAGAAGAAACACAUCACCAGUAGGAGAACCCAAUGUUUCAGCCCCAUGGAGACUCGACGUCUGGUGGGAGACAUCUGAGACAUUGUCCUUUCUACCAUAGUGAGACCACACACAGAGUGCCCCUCAACUGGUGGAGUCAGAAUGGUCCAUGGCUGGUGAUGGCACUAGCUGGUGUGAUGCUCCCUCUGUUGUGCACAAUGCUCGUUUUCUCAAAAGAAGAAUCAUUUUGAAAUGUCUUUCGUCGUGUCAUGAUGUCCUUUUUGUCACAAGGGUGUUAGGAAUGGAGGGGGGAGGAUAUUGUGUAUUCCACAUUAUUAUUACCUCAUAUUUAAAUUUUAUUUUUGGCCUUCCCUUGUGACAUUUAUUACAUAAAAACCAGAUAAAAAAUGUAUGUUUUGUACAAUUGUAACAUAAUUGUAUGUACCUAUGUGAAUAGGAAUUUCCUCUAUGAGGACAAAUAAAUGAUAUAUCUGUCUA